GGAGUCUGGGCCGUAUCUCAGUCCCAAUGUGGCCGUUCAACCUCUCAGUCCGGCUACUGAUCGUCGCCUUGGUGGGCCGUUACCCCGCCAACAAGCUAAUCAGACGUGAGCCCAUCCCUCAGCGGAUUUCUCCUUUGGUGUUCAGACGAUGCCGUCCAAACACAUCAUGCGGUAUUAGCAGUCGUUUCCAACUGUUGUCCCCCUCUGAAGGGCAGGUUGCUCACGCAUUACUCACCCGUUCGCCACUCAGUCAAAGAAGAACUUUGACGAAUCUCCAUUCUUCAGUGCUUCGUUCGACUUGCAUGUGUUAAGCACGCCGCCAGCGUUCAUC
rnacentral:rRNA from 1 species